rnacentral:misc_RNA from 1 species
GAUGAAGAACGUAGUGAAAUGCGAUAAGUAAUGCGAAUUGCAGAAUUCAGUGAGUCAUCGAAUCUUUGAACGCACAUUGCGCCCCUUGGCAUUCCGAGGGGCAUGCCUGUCCGAGCGUCAUUGCUGCCCUCAAGCACGGCUUGUGUGUUGGGCCUCCGUCCUCCUCCCGGGGGACGGGCCCGAAAGGCAGCGGCGGCACCGCGUCCGGUCCUCGAGCGUAUGGGGCUUCGUCACCCGCUCUUGUAGGCCCGGCCGGCGCUUGCCGACACAUCAAUCUUUUUUCCAGGUUGACCUCGGAUCAGGUAGGGAUACCCGCUGAACUUAAGCAUAUCAAUAAGCGGAGGA